rnacentral:rRNA from 1 species
CAGCCGCCACGGUAAUACGGAGGGGGCUAGCGUUGUUCGGAAUUACUGGGCGUAAAGCGCACGUAGGCGGCUUGGUAAGUUAGAGGUGAAAGCCUGGAGCUCAACUCCAGAAUUGCCUUUAAGACUGCCGAGCUAGCAGGUGAGAGAGGUAAGUGGAAUUCCGAGUGUAGAGGUGAAAUUCGUAGAUAUUCGGAAGAACACCAGUGGCGAAGGCGGCUUACUGGCUCAUACUGGACGCUGAGGUGCGAAAGCGUGGGGAGCAAACAGGAUUAGAGACCCCCGUAGUCCCUGUCUCUUAUAC